rnacentral:snoRNA from 1 species
ACGACCUUACUUGAACAAGAUCUGUUUUAUAGGGUUAUACUACUGUGUCCUUGAUUUCUAAGAGACAAGAACAAAAAUCUGGAUGAUGAACAAAGAUAUUAGAUC